rnacentral:tRNA from 3 species
GGGCCCAUAGCUCAGUUGGUUAGAGCCACCGGCUCAUAACCGGUAGGUCCUCCGUUCGAGUCGGAGUGGGCCCACCA